GUCUCCUACGGGGCGCAGCAGUGGGGAAUAUUGCACAAUGGGGGAAACCCUGAUGCAGCGACGCCGCGUGAGCGAAGAAGUAUUUCGGUAUGUAAAGCUCUAUCAGCAGGGAAGAAAAAUGACGGUACCUGAGUAAGAAGCACCGGCUAAAUACGUGCCAGCAGCCGCGGUAAUACGUAUGGUGCAAGCGUUAUCCGGAUUUAUUGGGUUUAAAGGGUGCGUAGGCGGUCCGUUAAGUCAGCGGUAAAAUUGCGGGGCUCAACCCCGUCGAGCCGUUGAAACUGGCAGACUUGAGUUGGCGAGAA
rnacentral:rRNA from 1 species